rnacentral:rRNA from 1 species
GAUGAACGCUAGCGGGAGGCUUAACACAUGCAAGUCGAGGGGCAGCACGAUGUAGCAAUACGUUGGUGGCGACCGGCGCACGGGUGAGUAACGCGUAUGCAACCUACCCUGUACUGGGGGAUAGCCCGGAGAACUUCGGCUUAAUACCCCAUAAUGAUAUUGAGAGGCAUCUUUUGAUAUUUAAAGUUUCGACGGUACGGGAUGGGCAUGCGUAACAUUAGCUAGUUGGUAGGGUAACGGCCUACCAAGGCAACGAUGUGUAGGGGUCCUGAGAGGGUGAUCCCCCACACUGGUACUGAGACACGGACCAGACUCCUACGGGAGGCAGCAGUGAGGAGUAUUGGGCAAUGGGCGGAAGCCUGAACCAGCCAUCCCGCGUGCAGGAAGAAGGCGCUAUGCGUUGUAAACUGCUUUUCCAGGGGAAGAAAACUUCCAUCGAGAUGGGACUUGCCGGUACCCUGGGAAUAAGCAUCGGCUAACUCCGUGCCAGCCGCCGCCGUAAAAC